rnacentral:tRNA from 1 species
GGGGAGAUGGCCGAGUGGUUUAAGGCGUAGCAUUGGAACUGCUAUGUAGGCUUUUGUUUACCGAGGGUUCAAAUCCCUCUCUUUCCG